GCUCAACCGGGGGGGGUCAUUAGAAACUGGGAAACUUGAGUGCAGAAGAGGAGAGUGGAAUUCCACGUGUAGCGGUGAAAUGCGUAGAGAUGUGGAGGAACACCAGUGGCGAAGGCGACUCUCUGGUCUGUAACUGACGCUGAGGAGCGAAAGCGUGGGAAGCGAACAGGAUUAGAUACCCUGGUAGUCCACGCCGUAAACGAUGAGUGCUAAGUGUUAGGGGGUUUCCGCCCCUUAGUGCUGCAGCUAACGCAUUAAGCACUCCGCCUGGGGAGUACGGUCGCAAGACUGAAACUCAAAGGAAUUGACGGGGGCCCGCACAAGCGGUGGAGCAUGUGGUUUAAUUCGAAGCAACGCGAAGAACCUUACCAGGUCUUGACAUCCUCUGACAACCCUAGAGAUAGGGCUUUCCCUUCGGGGACAGAGUGACAGGUGGUGCAUGGUUGUCGUCAGCUCGUGUCGUGAGAUGUUGGGUUAAGUCCCGCAACGAGCGCAACCCUUGAUCUUAGUUGCCAGCAUUCAGUUGGGCACUCUAAGGUGACUGCCGGUGACAAACCGGAGGAAGGUGGGGAUGACGUCAAAUCAUCAUGCCCCUUAUGACCUGGGCUACACACGUGCUACAAUGGACAGAACAAAG
rnacentral:rRNA from 1 species